ensembl:lncRNA
CUGGAUGUUCGAGGAGAUCUACAGUCAAUUCAAAGCUCAUAUCAACUGUGGUCUUUUGUGUGAUCUUCUUACUGCUCUCCUGAUUUUGAAACCAAUUUUUUAAUCUUGGGAAACUUGUCACUGAAAACCUUUCAGGAGAGAACUGCAGGCUUUGUCUCUAUGGCAUGACGACAAACAGCAAACUUCACUUUGUGGACACUUUUCACUCAGUCAGUAUCACUUCAUGCACUGACUCAGACCAGCAGCAGCAGAAGACCAGCCUUCCUGAUUACCGCCCUCAUUGUUUUCAUAGUGGAUGUGACAUCAGCCAAACUCACCAUGUAAAGUAGGAAGUACAGAGCACUUCUUUGUCUGUCCCAUCAGAGCUGAGCUGCUUUCAGACGACUCCGUCUUGUUGUGGAUGCUGAAGCUGAUCAUGGUUCUCCUGUGGAUGAUCCUGUUGGUGGUUCUGCUCUGUGCAGAGGCCGAGAACGUGACCGAGGUCGGAGGAGAGCUGGGGACCAAUAUCACUCUAACCUGCUCCAAUCAGACAUCAGACCCAUACUGGUACAUGGAGAUCUACAGUCAGUUCAGAGCAGGUAUCGGCCGCAGUUUUUCCUCAGCAGGCUCUACCUACUACUCUCCUGAUUUUGAAACUAAAUUUUCAAUCCUGGGAAACAAACUUGUGAUUAAAAACUUGACAGCAGAGGACUGCAGGCUUUACUUCUGUGGCAUCAAGAGAAAUGGUAGCACUCAGUUUGUGGAGAGUUUUAGCCUCGUCUCAGAUAUCUGUCCAACCCCUGACCCUGAGUGUGGAGUGUUGCAGAGGCAGACUUUCCUCGUCAGCUCAGUGAUCCUGAACUUUGUGCUCUUUUUAGUACUCUGUCUGAGUUGUGUAUGGCUGUGUCUGAAGAGGAGAAUCAGCAAGUAUCAGGCAAACCUCCCUCCAGCUGGGACCAGUGAGAGGCUGGAGGCUCCACAGUACGAGGAGAUCCAGCUCCCCACUCCCUCUGCUGCUCCGCUUCAAGAGUGUGUUUAUUACAAAAUUCAGCUUCCUCGCUCCACACUACCUCAAAGCUGAUGGACACACCUGUACAGGUGGAUGAUACCUGCUGGACAGAGGUCAGUCUGAUAACUGAAGACUUGCUGCUCCGCCGCUCGUAGGAGGAUUUAUUUUUUCCUCUCUGGUUUGAGUUGUUGGACCAAAAGUUCUGAAUCAAAAUUUUCCACAAACUUGAUGAAAGUGCUGCAAGAUUAAUUUUAGUCAGAGACAAUCUGCUCUGCUUCUGAGCUGAGAUGGACCCAAGAAUGUGACAACCUUUAGCCAAACCUGCUUUAAGGUGCUUCAGGAUUUAACACCAUAACUCAAUGCUGCUGUGAAAACCUGUAAAUAUGAAACUCCAACAUUUAAUAUUUAUUUGUUCUCUUAUAGUUUGUAUCUGUUUAUCAGUUUUUGUUGUUUUGUUUCAGCUGUUUUGUUGUUUAUGCUAUUUUGAAAGCACAGAUUUUAAACACAGUCUCAUUCCCUAAAAGGUCAGCAUGAUGAUGAAGUAUGACAACAGAAAGCUGCAUUUUACAAUUAAAUGUCAAACAGAAGUGAAACCAGGACAAAGACAAAAUAUCACAUGUUGACUGUGAGAAAUGUGAUUUUUGAAAGACAUAUUUUUUUUAAUUUGUUGCAGCAUCAAAUUUAAAAAUAAUGUUGUGAGAAGCUGUCAAAAUUACUGAGCCGUCCAUUUUCCUCUGCUUAUCCAUUUUAAGUAUGCAGGAGUCUAUACCAGCUGUCAUAGGGCUAAAGGAGGGGUACACACUGGACAGAUCACCAGUCUGUCACAAUAACAUGUAACAAAAUUAAAUGUGUUUUUUUAAAGCAUCCCUGGUAAACACUGAAGUUCUCCAGAAAGACUUUGUUCACAAAUAACUAAUCCAUCCACAUUAAUAAUCUCAGUUUGAACAUUUGGGCUGUUGAUUUAAAAUCUAAGAUUAUAUGGUCUUUGCAAAUUAUUGCAUAACAGGUUUGUUUUAGUAUAAGAAUAUGUAAAAGAACUUUCUACAUACCUGUGGCAUUAUUCUUUUGUUCUGUGAAAAUACACUGCGAUCAUUUUCAGUUUGAUUACAGCAUUUAUUUUUGGUUUAGGCAUUCGUGUAGUUAUUUAACACAAAUAGAACUUGAGUUCACACCAGUGAUUUGUUUGUUUGAAAGAGAAAAUGUGGUUUGAAGUAUUUCUUUGUAAUGUUUAAUAUGAACCUAUUAAACAUUUGAGAACAACAAGGGACAGAAACAAAUCUGGAUGAUAUUAUUUAAAAAAAGAGUUUCACAAUGUUCCUCUUUCCUCAAGGCCAUGUGAGUGUUUGUUGGUCAGAUUUCGCAGGAAACUAUUCAGCGCUUUCCUCACACGUUCUGAAAACAACAGCAAGUGACAACCUGUAAAAACAAUUUCAGUUGUUGCUUCUCAGUAAAAGGCCAGCUUCCUGUUUCCAUGUAUUCUGACCAUGUUGGGCCCCAUCCUGCUCCAACCAGUACAAACAGGUCACGUGUCAUGUCUGGUAGGCAGGAUUUGGACCCAAAUGUAGGACCCAGGAGACAGGAAAUACAUUUAAAAGGCAGCUUUAAUGCUAAAUUCCAAUGAAAAUGUUCCCCAGGAAUGAGGAAUUCAAAAACUAUACAGAAAUGAGACACACACAAAUGUAAUGAGGAAAAACACAACAAAAACUGAAUAAAGCUGAAGGAAUAAAUAAACAAGAUGAUGAGGGCAAACAGGAGAUACCUGGGAGGGUAGUUUUACUAACUGAGAAAAUAAGAGAAGGGGUGUGAAACUAAAUACAAAGACAAGAGACAAAACACCAAACAAAAUAAAGCAGGAAGUAACUGAACUUGUAAACAGAAACACAGGCAGGCAGGAAGCCGACAAAAUCAGGAAAAACAUGAUUGCAAAUUACAGAGCCAGGAAUGAGAAUAAGAGAAAUAACUCUGAAGUACAAAUGAGCUAAAAUACCAAACUCAAAAUGGCAAAACAAAGAAGAAACUACACAGAAACAUAAAAUGGGGGGGAAAUAAAAGAAACUGAAGGUACUGAACAAUAACUGAACCUGAAUGACCAAAAAUCCCAAAAAGGUUAGCAAAACGAGCAGGGAUGAGAGAAGAUGGGGCAAAAACAGGUCCAGAUGGCAGAUCAAGAAUGCUGAUAUUUGUUAAUCUGAAUUUGGAAAUCAUUGGAUUUGUGUGACUUACACCAGUGAUAAAAAGUCUUUAUCAUGUCCUAAAAUGAAUCCAUUACAACCUGAGAUGAACAAGAACACACAAACAAAGCCCAAAUUCAGAAACAGCGUGUAGAAAAACUGAGUUUAAUGAUCUCUCACAUUCAAUUCUGGGUCACUCUUCUUUACUAAGUUCCUUUGAUUGGGACUUGGAGGCAUUCGUUUAUACGCGGCUCUCUGAAGGGCCCACCACAGUAUUUCAAUCAGGUUGAGGUCUGACCUUUGAUUGGCCCAUUGCUGAACUUGAUUCUUUUCUUUUUUAGCUGUUCUGUUGGAGAUUUGCUGCACGCCUGAGCUGCGGCUGAGCUUUAGCUGUCAGAUAGAUAGCAUCAAUAUUUGGCUCUAGAAUACUUGCAUGGGCAUGCAGAGGAGUUCAUGGUCAACUCAAUGACUGUAAGGUCCCCAGGUCUCAUGACUGCAAAGCAAUCCCAAAUCAUCACCCUUCCAUCGUGCUAACAGUUGACAUGAGGUUCUUGUGCUGACAUGUGUGUUUGGUUUUCCCCAGGUGUAAUGCUGUGCACUAUCACUGAACAUAGACGCUUUUGUCUUAUAUGUCCAAAGGGCAUUAAUUUAGAUGUUUUGUAGCUUGUUUUAAUGCAUCUUCACUUUAACCCUUGUUGGCAUGUUCUUUUUAGGGUGGCUUCUUCAUUACUUUCAUAAAUAAGGCCUCAUAUCUAGUGGAGUGUUUAAAGUUACCUGUGCCACAUCAGUUUGUGGGGUUGAAUUUUUGCAGCUUUCAGAGCUCUAGUUCCUGUUUCUGCAGCAAGCUUCAGCCACAAGUUUAUCAUCACUGUAUAUGUACUUUAAACCACGCAGAAUAACGACAAUGAUCAUGCAUUUGUAUCAGUUGGUUUAGAAAGAAAACAAAAAGCAAACGCAAAACACACAUUUAUUUAUCUACAUUACCAAAACAUACCAGAUAUUUUCUCCUAGCAUAAUCCUACAGGAUCACAUUCACAUGUUGUUCAUAGAGUUUACUUUGAGCCUUAUUCACGUUUGUCUUUGAAGAAUAAAGCGCAUUAAGCACAGCCUGCAUUUGUGCUGAGUCUUUUUUUUUUUGUUAUGAUGGUAGUUCAGAAAUUUCCCCUUAAGAACUUAUUGAGUUCAGAAUAGAAACCUUUUGAACAAUUAGCCAAUCUCAAAAUGUUUAGGAACUGAGAGGCAAGUCAGUCAAAAGAGGAACAUCAGUAGAUACACAAAGGGACCCGCAAGUAACAUAAAGAACAUAAAGACGAA